AUGUACGGGCCCGCCUAUGAAAAUAGAAAAGCUUCCGGUUUUUUGACAUCGCAAUACCGGAGUCUUUUCUGUGUCCAUAUUCGUGACCAGAAUC
rnacentral:pre_miRNA from 1 species